rnacentral:rRNA from 1 species
GAUGAACGCUGGCGGCGUGCCUAAUACAUGCAAGUAGAACGCUGAAGGAGGAGCUUGCUCUUCUGGAUGAGUUGCGAACGGGUGAGUAACGCGUAGGUAACCUGCCUGGUAGCGGGGGAUAACUAUUGGAAACGAUAGCUAAUACCGCAUGACAACAGUUAUUGCAUGAUAACUGUUUAAAAGGUGCAACUGCUCCACUACCAGAUGGACCUGCGUUUUAUUGGCUAGUUGGUGUGGUAACGGCUCACCAAGGCGACGAUACAUAGCAGAACUGAGAGGGUGAUCGGCCAAAAUGGGAAUGAGACACGGCCAAGACUCCUACGGGAGGCAGCAGUAGGGAAUCUUCGGAAAUGGACGGAAGUCUGACCGAGCAACGCCGCGUGAGUGAAGAAGGGUUUCGGAUCGUAAAGCUCUGUUGCAAGAGAAGAACGAGUGUGAGAGUGGAAAGUUCACACUGUGACGGUAGCUUACCAGAAAGGGACGGCUAACUACGUG